rnacentral:tRNA from 1 species
CGGGGCGUAGCGCAGUUGGCAGCGUGCAUGGUUCGGGACCAUGAGGUCGCCGGUUCGAGCCCGGCCGCCCCGA